GUAGGUGGCAAGCGUUGUCCGGAAUUAUUGGGCGUAAAGCGCGCGCAGGUGGGUUCUUUAAGUCUGAUGUGAAAGCCCCCGGGCUCAACCGGGGAGGGUCAUUGGAAACUGGGGAACUUGAGUGCAGGAGAGGAAAGUGGAAUUCCACGUGUAGCGGUGAAAUGCGUAGAUAUGUGGAGGAACACCAGUGGCGAAGGCGACUUUCUGGCCUGUAACUGACACUGAGGCGCGAAAGCGUGGGGAGCAAACAGGAUUAGAUACCCUGGUAGUCCACGCCGUAAACGAUGAGUGCUAAGUGUUGGGGGGUUUCCGCCCCUCAGUGCCGCAGCUAACGCACUAAGCACUCCGCCUGGGGAGUACGGUCGCAAAGACUG
rnacentral:rRNA from 1 species